AGGUACUGCGUCCCGGUUCACCCUUGACAUUUUCCCGGGUAAAAAUAGUCAAGUAUCUCCACUGUGUGCUGUAGUCCAGCAAAACUGUGUGCUGUGCCUUCGGAAGGGCUGUUUGCAGGUGUACCAGUCUGCUGAGAGCAGGAUGACCAGCACUGCCAGCUCAGGAUCCAGCUGAGGGGCUCCCAUUCUCAUGCAAAUAGGAGCCCAAAGCUUUGCUCUUCAUGGGCUGCACCUGGCCAGACCCAGCUGGCUGUCCCCACCCUGCAGGGCAUAACAACCCUCAGGAGGAGGGUUAUUAGGAACCUUAUUUGUGGAGGAAAGUGUGAGGUCCUCCCCUUGCUGUGCAGGUUUGUGCCUCUGACCCAGGCUCGCUGUGGUGCUGAUGGACUGGGUGAGCCCUUGCUGGGAUUACUGCUGCAGUGUUCUGGGCUGUACCCAACGAUGCAUCUCCAUUUUUUUUUCUUUUUUUAAAGCAGGGUAAGCUCAGCUGCCUCUGAUCUCUGGGUUGUCCUGCAGUGCAGACACAUUCCUCGGGAGAGGCUCUGAUGGAUCAGGAGGUGAGCAGAAUUAUGGUCAAUGGCCUGCUUUGAGACAAUCUCAGCCCUUCAGCUGAUAAGAUUCUCCAGACAUCUCUCUUCUGGCACUUAAUGUCUGAUGAAGGAAGUAUCUGAAGACUGGUGAAAAGCUGCAGACACCCUGGUGCAAAAUAAAACAAGCUUUGGAACAUCUCAAUCGGUGAAGCUGGAGCGUUCUCUGGAUAUUCUGGACAUAGUGCUGUGGCAGCGUUAUUUCAUCAAGAGAUGGAUUUUGCUCUUAAUUAGCCAACACGCCACCAGGGAUGCUUCAGUCAUGGGUGUGAAAAAGCCUCCAGCAAAAGAUUGUUCCCUGGGAUUACAAAAAAACAACGUAGCAGUGACUUGGGGAUAAUUGGCAGCUUCAGUGACGGUAGGUUGGCUCUAGCAGUGACAAUAUUUUCUGGUGUAAUAUCAGUACCUGCUUCUGUCUGCUUUCCAGUUGGCUCACUGCAGGCUCAACAAGAGCAGCUCUGUAUAACAAUGGAUGCCAUUGAAUGCUGGGGGUGGGCAACUGUUCCCCACCUUUUCUGCUGUCACAGCUUUCUCAAAGGCACAGGUUUUGUGCUCUCCUCAGCAAAAAUGCACCUUCUUUACCCAUCCAUGAUGGCUGGAACUUGAUGCUGAGUUUGGACUUGAAUAUAUCUGUUAGUUUCUUGCUACUAGUAAUGUGCCUAGUUGUUUUUUUUUUUUUUUUCUUUUGUCUCUAGGAGCUAUUUGCUUCUAUGGUCAGAAAGUCUUGACCAACUGAAUUCCUGGUGAUAUUUUUCCCAAAAUAGUAGGAAAAAUAUCUUUAAAAACAACACACAAAAAAUCAUCGAAUCCUUAUGUUUCUAGGGAAUAUAAGGUUAUUUGCAAUGAGAGAAUAGAACUUCAGACAACUCUGUGAAGAUACCCAUUUCACAAUCCAGGGAUGACUUUCAAAUAAACUGUCUCAGAGCUUGAUCAGAAAUAGUAUCUGAAAGAUUGAGUCAGUCCAGUGGUGUUAAAAAAAAAUCUAUCCUGCAUGGAAAUGAGAAUUUUAUUAAGAAAAUAUUAUUGUAUUUUGUAAACAAGUUCUAAAAAGGGGGGCAAUUAUCUGUGUGUGGGGAAGGAAAUCCAUGCUGCUUAAGGUGUGGAAGCAUGAGAGCAUGUCAGUCACAUUGCACUGCUGCCUGAACCUAUUUUAACAUUUACAUACUCAACCUAAAUUCCUUCAAGAAACCAAACCCAAACAAUCUCAUUUGGUACAUAUGUGCUUGAUCCAAAGCUUGCUGAAAUCCAUGACAAGUUUCGGGAUGCGAUUCUAAUUGUCACGAAGAGCUUCCAAUUACUUAAUACAAUUUCUGAGGAGAGAGAGAGAGAGAGAUACAAUUUCAUCGGUCAAAGAUGUUCUUCUCCAAGUGGAAUGAGCUCUAUCUAACACAUCCUUCACACUGCAAGCCUGUCAAGCAGUAGCAGAAAGAGAUGUGAUCAGGCAUUUGGAGGUGCCUGCCUUGUAGCAGCAAAGCAGAGGUUGUUGCUUUGGUGUCAAAUGAAAUGAAGAGAUGCUUGGGCUUUGCAGGGUCUAUCUUCUCCAGAUAAAAGGCCAGUGACCUUUUCACAUCAA